UGCGCCGGCUCGUCCCGGGCGCACGGGGCUCCUGGGAGCCGUGUCCGGGCGGGCAUCGGCACAGGCCCAAGGUGGAGAUGACGUAUGGAAUGAGGCUUGGCAACUGUGCUCCUUGUGGAGUGUGUCGGCUUGGUGUGGUGUGACCCCGGGCUGCUGUCGGGCAGCGGGUUCUCAAACCCCUUUAAGCGGUUUAGCUUAAAGUAUGAAGAUGGAAGCCUGAUGCCUGGAUGCUGGAAGUUCUUCUGUUGGUGCCACCAAAGAGCAGGCAUAUGAGAGGCUUAGAACUGCUCAGGAACUUUGGAUAGACAGAUACCUCAUUUGGAUUGUCUUGGAUUGGGCAUCUUGAUAUAAAAUCAGAUUAGUGCUAAUAUUUCUGCCUAACGAGAAAAGGAAAAGAGAACUGCAGCAAAAACACUCUGAGUGAAGAGUCAAAAAGUCACUCAAGUGAAGACUUACUGCCCAAUAAGUGAAGCUGAGUUAGGAAGUCUGGAGAAGACUGGAGUGAUAAUUAUGGGCUUGCUUCUCUUUCCUGUUGGGAGUGCCUCCAUGACAUUUCUUAUUGAAGAAUGGCAGAGGAAUUUUGCAGGAAAGGAAGAUUACUUUUAUUAGGAAAAACUGUGCCUGUCAGAAAAGGGAAAAUUCUACUGGGUCCAAGGUUAUGAAAAGGCUGUAUCAGUUUCAGCUCUGCAG